UUAUGCAUCCAACCAAUUCGUGCAUCCGUGCAUCCAAAUCGUUUUUGACCGGUUGAUUAAAAUCAUAGCGUUGGAGAAACUUCAGGUGCAAUAUUCCGAAAACACGCCCGCUGCCUUCGUAAGUUAUGCCUGCAAAUUUACACACGCACCCCUAUCGUUGACACAGAUACCCGAUUCCCACGUCUUCCCUGGCGAUCAACUGCAGUUGCUGGUUUCGACGACCAUGGCGGCGACCCGCGGCUAGAGAUGCAGAAAUCGUCGUGCAGCCGGAACUUUGACGGACACAGAUCCCUGCGACUGUUGGCUUCAGCCCGUUCUUGCGGCACACCGGAUCGACGUGCCGAUCUACUGACGCCGCUGAUCGAUCGUGUUCUUUCCGGCGAGCAAUGGAAUCUAUCAACACCUUGCAAAAUCAGUUUAACGAGGAAGGAUUUAUCACACCCAUAAAGGCAUCAAAUGUUUCUCUCUCUUGCUCGUGUUUUACACCUGAAUGUGAAGAUAAUUUGGAGCCUAAAGUAGGGAUGACAUUUGAGGAACUAGAGGCUGUGGAGAAAUUCUACAAGAUUUAAUCCAGGCAGCAAAACAAUCAGAUGAGGCAUAGAUUUUUUACUAUCAAGUGUGUUGAGUAUUGAGGAACCUCUGAAUCAAAAGGUUCCUGCAGCAGUGAAGCACACUAGGCAAGAGGAAUAUGAGGCAUUUAUUGGAUGCAAUAUUCCUACUGAAGUAAACAUACACCCUUCAAGUGAUGUUCGUUCAGUUGGGAGAAGCAAAAGAAUAAAGAGAGGAAUGGAGAUGAAUGGGGAAGGACAGAAAAAAGAAGAAAAAACAAGCCAAGGCCAAGGUCUCACCCAUGUGCAGAACAUGUAACCAAAUAGGGUUUCAUGAUUGUCGCAAGCGCCCAAGCAAAAAUAUUCAUGCCCAAGAAGCCAUGAAUGUGCAAGACGAGCACUUAGCUGGUGCAUCAUGAGAGCUGCAAUUAUUCCAAGAAAAACAUGGCUUAUAAAUAGUACUACUUUAUGAAAAUGUCUGAAAUUAUGUAA